GGUCAAGCGAACAAGUGCAUGUGGUGGAUGCCUUGGCGAUCACAGGCGAUGAAGGACGCGGUAGCCUGCGAAAAGCUACGGGGAGCUGGCAAACAAGCUUUGAUCCGUAGAUGUCCGAAUGGGGAAACCCACUCCUUUUGGAGUAUCCAUGGCUGAAUACAUAGGCCAUGUGAAGCGAACGCGGUGAACUGAAACAUCUAAGUAACCGCAGGAAAAGAAAUCAACCGAGAUUCCCAAAGUAGUGGCGAGCGAAAUGGGAUGAGCCUUGUACUCUUUAUUUGUAUUGUUAGCUGAACGCUCUGGAAAGUGCGGCCAUAGCGGGUGAUAGCCCCGUAAGCGAAAACAGUAUGAAAGAACUAAGUGUACGACAAGUAGGGCGGGACACGUGAAAUCCUGUCUGAAGAUGGGGGGACCAUCCUCCAAGGCUAAAUACUCGUGAUCGACCGAUAGUGAACCAGUACCGUGAGGGAAAGGCGAAAAGAACCCCGGGAGGGGAGUGAAAUAGAUCCUGAAACCGCAUGCAUACAAACAGUCGGAGCCUCGUAAGGGGUGACGGCGUACCUUUUGUAUAAUGGGUCAGCGACUUACGUUCAGUAGCAAGCUUAACCGUAUAGGGCAGGCGUAGCGAAAGCGAGUCCGAAUAGGGCGUUCAGUUGCUGGGCGUAGACCCGAAACCAAGUGAUCUAUCCAUGGCCAGGAUGAAGGUGCGGUAACACGUACUGGAGGUCCGAACCCACUAACGUUGAAAAGUUAGGGGAUGAGCUGUGGAUAGGGGUGAAAGGCUAAACAAACUUGGAAAUAGCUGGUUCUCUCCGAAAACUAUUUAGGUAGUGCCUCGUGUCUCACCUUCGGGGGUAGAGCACUGUCAUGGUUGGGGGGUCUAUUGCAGAUUACCCCGCCAUAGCAAACUCCGAAUACCGAAGAGUGCAAUCACGGGAGACAGACAUCGGGUGCUAACGUCCGGUGUCAAGAGGGAAACAACCCAGACCGCCAGCUAAGGUCCCCAAAUAUAGCUAAGUGGGAAACGAAGUGGGAAGGCUAAAACAGUCAGGAGGUUGGCUUAGAAGCAGCCACCCUUUAAAGAAAGCGUAAUAGCUCACUGAUCGAGUCGUCCUGCGCGGAAGAUGUAACGGGGCUAAGCUAUAUACCGAAGCUGCGGAUGCGUGCUUUGCACGCAUGGUAGGAGAGCGUUCCGUAAGCCUGCGAAGGUGCGUUGAAAAGCGUGCUGGAGGUAUCGGAAGUGCGAAUGCUGACAUGAGUAGCGAUAAAGGGGGUGAAAGGCCCCCUCGCCGUAAGCCCAAGGUUUCCUACGCAACGUUCAUCGGCGUAGGGUGAGUCGGCCCCUAAGGCGAGGCAGAAAUGCGUAGCUGAUGGGAAGCAGGUCAAUAUUCCUGCACCAUUGUUAGAUGCGAUGGGGGGACGGAUCGCGGAAGGUUGUCCGGGUGUUGGAAGUCCCGGUCGCUGCAUUGGAGAAGGCGCUUAGGCAAAUCCGGGCGCGUAUUCAAGGGUGUGGCGCGAGCUCCUUAGGGAGCGAAGCAAUUGGAAGUGGUUCCAAGAAAAGCCUCUAAGCUUCAGUCUAACGAUGACCGUACCGCAAACCGACACAGGUGGGCGAGAUGAGUAUUCUAAGGCGCUUGAGAGAACUCGGGAGAAGGAACUCGGCAAAUUGGUACCGUAACUUCGGGAUAAGGUACGCCCUUGUAGCUUGAUGCCCCUGCGGGCAGAGGGUGAAGGGGUUGCAAUAAACUGGUGGCUGCGACUGUUUAAUAAAAACACAGCACUCUGCAAACACGAAAGUGGACGUAUAGGGUGUGACGCCUGCCCGGUGCCGGAAGAUUAAAUGAUGGGGUGCAAGCUCUUGAUUGAAGUCCCGGUAAACGGCGGCCGUAACUAUAACGGUCCUAAGGUAGCGAAAUUCCUUGUCGGGUAAGUUCCGACCUGCACGAAUGGCGUAACGAUGGCCACACUGUCUCCUCCCGAGACUCAGCGAAGUUGAAGUGUUUGUGAUGAUGCAAUCUACCCGCGGCUAGACGGAAAGACCCCAUGAACCUUUACUGUAGCUUUGCAUUGGACUUUGAACCGAUCUGUGUAGGAUAGGUGGGAGGCUAUGAAACCGGAACGCUAGUUUCGGUGGAGCCGUCCUUGAAAUACCACCCUGGUUUGUUUGAGGUUCUAACCUUGGCCCGUGAUCCGGGUCGGGGACAGUGCAUGGUAGGCAGUUUGACUGGGGCGGUCUCCUCCCAAAGCGUAACGGAGGAGUACGAAGGUACGCUAGGUACGGUCGGAAAUCGUGCUGAUAGUGCAAUGGCAUAAGCGUGCUUAACUGCGAGACCGACAAGUCGAGCAGGUGCGAAAGCAGGUCAUAGUGAUCCGGUGGUUCUGUAUGGAAGGGCCAUCGCUCAACGGAUAAAAGGUACUCUGGGGAUAACAGGCUGAUACCGCCCAAGAGUUCAUAUCGACGGCGGUGUUUGGCACCUCGAUGUCGGCUCAUCUCAUCCUGGGGCUGUAGCCGGUCCCAAGGGUAUGGCUGUUCGCCAUUUAAAGAGGUACGUGAGCUGGGUUUAAAACGUCGUGAGACAGUUUGGUCCCUAUCUGCCGUGGGCGUUGGAUAUUUGAAGGGGGCUGCUCCUAGUACGAGAGGACCGGAGUGGACGAACCUCUGGUGUACCGGUUGUCACGCCAGUGGCAUCGCCGGGUAGCUAUGUUCGGAAGAGAUAACCGCUGAAAGCAUCUAAGCGGGAAACUCGCCUUAAGAUGAGAUAUCCCUGGGGACUAGAUCCCCUUGAAGGGUCGUUCGAGACCAGGACGUUGAUAGGUCAGGUGUGUAAGCGCAGUAAUGCGUUCAGCUAACUGAUACUAAUUGCCCGUAAGGCUUGAUCCU
rnacentral:rRNA from 1 species